GGCAACGCCGGGUCCUUCACCCACGGAGCAAGGCCAGGGAUGGGACCUGUGUCCUCGCGGAUGCCAGUGAGAUGGACAUCGUGCCGUAAACAGACUCUAAGCAGAAGUUUCCGAGGAACGUGCUGUUUGGAAUAAAAACAGGACUGAAGGGAAUGGGGGCCGCGUUGCGCCGGCUGCGGCGUGUCCUGCCCGGGACGCGGCGGCCGCGUGCUCUCCACCUGGAUGCGUGACCGUGACCCGGGGGGACAGCACAGUUGUGUGCUCUCAGCUCCAAGAGUUCGAAACCUCGUCUUCAAAUUUACAUGCAGUUCACGCAGCCGUAAGAAAGAAUGAGAUAACGCCACUCGGGGCGCCGUGGAUGGACCUAGAGACUCCCACACUGAGAAGUCGGUCAGAGGAAGACCCCGUGCUAUCACCGGCGGUGGAAUCUCAAACGCAACACCAGGGACCUCCCCUACGAAACAGAAACGGACUCACAGGCGCAGCGGAGAGACUUGCGGUUGCCGAGGGGGAGGGACGGCUGGGAGUCGGGGGUGAGCAGGGGCAGACUCGUCUGUCGGGAUGAGAAACAACCGGGCCCUGCUGUGCGGCACAGGGAGCGCUCUUCGACGUCCCGUGAUGGCCCAUCGGAGACGAGAAAGUGGAAAAGAAUACACACGUGUGUGUGCCACCGAGUCAUUCUGCUGUACAGCAGAAACUGACGCCACAGUGUAGAUCAGCUGUACUUCGACAAAAUAAAUGAGGAAAAAGCUUCGGAA